rfam:Dipodomys ordii contig_26791, whole genome shotgun sequence.
GGGAAGGUGGCUCAGUGGUAGAGCACUUGCCUUGCAUGCAUGAGGCCCUUGGUUCGACUCCUCAGCGCCA